rnacentral:rRNA from 1 species
UAAAAUUAUUUUAAAUAAUAUAUUAGAAAUGAAAUGUUAUUCGUUUUUAAAGGUAUCUAGUUCUUUAAGAAAUAAAUUUAAUUUAGAAAUUUUUUAUUAUUUAAUUUAAUAUAUUAAUUAAAUAAUUAUUUAAUUUUAAUAUUUUAUGGGAUAAGCUAUAAGAUAAAAUUUUAUAAAUUAUUAAAUAAAUUAAUAAAUAUAAACUUAAAAAUAGUUAUUAUUAAUAAAAAUGUUAUAAUUUAUUUUUUAUAAAAAUUAUUUAUUUAUAUUUUAAAAUUUUAUUAAAGUAUUUAUUUUAAUAAAAAAAAUAAAAUAAUAAUGAUAAAAUUAGUAUAUUAUAUUGUAGGUAUAAAUUUAAAUGAUAAGUUUUUAUAAAGAACUCGGCAAAAUUAAUAUUCGCCUGUUUAACAAAAACAUGUCUUUAUGAAUUUUAUUUAAAGUCUAACCUGCCCACUGAAUUAAAUUUAAAUGGCCGCAGUAUUUUGACUGUGCAAAGGUAGCAUAAUCAUUAGUCUUUUAAUUGAAGGCUGGAAUGAAUGGUUGGACGAGAUAUUAACUGUUUCAUAAAAAUUUUUAUUAGAAUUUUAUUUUUUAGUUAAAAAGCUAAAAUUUAUUUAAAAGACGAGAAGACCCUAUAAAUCUUUAUAUUUAGAUUAUUGUAAUUUUUUAGAAAAAUUUUAUUAUUAUAAUUUAUAAUAUUUUAUUGGGGUGAUAUUAAAAUUUAAUAAACUUUUAAUUAUUUUUUAUCAUUAAUUUAUGAAUAAAUGAUCCGUUAUUAACGAUUAAAAGAAUAAGUUACUUUAGGGAUAACAGCGUAAUUUUUUUGGAGAGUUCUUAUCGAUAAAAAAGAUUGCGACCUCGAUGUUGGAUUAAGAAAUAAUUUUAGGUGUAGUCGCUUAAAUUUUAAGUCUGU